UACGGAGGAUCCAAGCGUUAUCCGGAAUUACUGGGCGUAAAGAGUUGCUUAGGCGGCAGGUAAAGCGGAGUGUGAAAUCGUGUGGCUCAACCAUACGGCUAUGCUCUGAACUCACCAGCUAGAGAAUGAGAGAGGUUACUGGAAUUUCUAGUGUAGGAGUGAAAUCCGUAGAUAUUAGAAGGAACACCGAUGGCGUAGGCAGGUAACUGGAUCAUUUCUGACGCUCAGGCACGAAAGCGUGGGGAGCAAACGGG
rnacentral:rRNA from 1 species